GGCGAUCUAAUGUUACUAUUGAGAAAAAGAGAGGGAUAUUGGAUACACACUCUACAAACAAUGCAACCUAGGGGACUUAACGUCGAUUUUGAUUUGGUUUGCUUUCUCUAAAUUGACAAUUUUGCACUUGUACAUUUUUUUUUCUUGUAUAUAGCUUUAAUAUUGACAAACAUAUGUUUCUAGUAAUGUUGCUUAAUUAAUUUGACGCAUUUUUU